AAAUUUUAGCCGUUGAAUUUCUUGUUCAUUUCCAAUCUAAUUGUUACUGAUACUCAACAAAUUAGUAUUUAAAAAGCUGAGUAUUUUGAAGCAUGCAUAUGGAUAUUAAGUAUUUUGAAGCACACAUAUGGAUAUUGUUAUAUGCUUUAUUUUGUUACAAUAUCUUAUACAAGGUAGGGAUAUUAUGGCUGUACACUCUGAGUCAGGUUCGCAGGAGAAGAAAUCAGGCAAUGGAUUGAAUGAGUUACUGAUUUGUAUUGCCGAGAACAUGCAGAACAACAUAAAGAUUAUCUAUUACAGUUUACAGGAAACUUGCUGACAAGGUUGCAGCUGCUGACUAUUUUGUGAAUCUGAAAAAUAACUUGCAACAUUUUUAGUGACAAAUAGUUUGUGGGACUACACAAACAUUGUCAUGAAUUUCCUCUCUGGAUCCAGUGAGGUAGAUGGAAGUAAAAGUUUUGCCUGGCUUCAAUACUUCGAUGUUGUUAUCACUGGCAGUGCAAAGCCAGGAUUUUUUCAUGAGAAAAAUCACCCCAACCUAUUUGGGGUUGUGCCUGAGACUGAAAUGCUUCUCAAUACAGAUAGUGUUAUAUAGCCAGGAUUUCUUAGGUUCUGUAUGUUGGGGAUCACAUUUACGGAGCUAUACUACGCAGCAAAAAGGUUCUUGGAUGGAGGACCAUGCUUGUAAUACCAGAGCUUGAGAAGGAGGUUCAGCUUCUGAGGGAGUCAAGAGAUACCCGCAAGGAACUUCAAUUCCUGAGGAGCGAGCGUGAUCGCAUUGAAGAUGAGAUACAUCAUUUGUAGUGGUCUCUCAAUUAUAGGGGAAAAGUUGAAUUGUGACUAUACCGAAAUUUUCCAAAUAUAUGAAGAGAUUAUAAGCAUAAAGGAUUUUUCUAUACACACCAAGUUUAAUGGUAAUAAUUAUACUCGAUUCUAAAAGUUGAACUAUAUGCUAUGAUUCCUUAUGUUUUAAUUAGAUUUCUUGUGAGGGGAGAAGAAUGGUAGUUGAUUUUGAUUUUAUUUUUUCCUUUUUGUUUUACCAUUUUAUUUUGCAAUUGAGCCUAUCUUGAGUGAAAAUCUACUUCUUGGCUUUGCUUCAAGAUUCAAGUUCAUGCUACAGUAGUAAGUGAGUAAUGAACAUUUUAUUUUGUGUCUUUUUUAAGUUAAUAUUUUAAAAUGUGUAUUUUUUGUUGAGUUUGAUAUAUUUAUUUUCACGUACUUUAGUACUUAGUAAGUGCUUUGUUGACUUCACAACCUCUUUAGAUAAAGUAGUUUUAUAUUGUUCAAUAUUUUUAGUAAAUAAUUUACAAAUAAGUGUUUUUCUAGUUAAUAUUUUGGAAUUAUCUAUGAGUUUAAUAUUGUUUAUUUAGUGUUUUUAAUGUUAAUAUCUCAAGUUUAACCUAUGAUGUAAAGAAAAUAAGUUAUAGUAAAGAAAAAUGGUAUAAAUUAUUAUAGUUGGUAAGUCUUUUUUAAGCUUAUGUAUGAAAUUGUGGCGGUUCAAAGCCAUCGCAUUCUUUUUAAAAAAUGCACAUAAAUUUGCGGCGGUUGUGUAACCAUCGCAAUUAUUUUUAAAAUUUCGCUUACUAAAAUAGAUAAUCGCUGCAAGAUCAUCAACAUGAUUAGCAACGGUUGUGCCAGCGGUUCGUAAAAACUACCGCAAAAUCAAAUAGCCACGCCCUAAAUUACAAUGAUUAUAUGUCGUUUUGUGCCGAUUUAAAAUCGUCGCAAUUCUCCAAAAAAAUUGCCGCUAUUUACUGGUUCGAAUAAGUAAUUAAGAUGUAGAAUUCGAAUAAGUAAUUUUUGUACACCCUUCUUUAGUAGGGUGAAUGCAACAAACCAUUAAAUUGUUAUACCCUACAAUAAUUUAUUAUGAGUCCAGUUUAAUCUUAAUUUACAUCGAUCUAACUCGACUUAUUUACAAACCUACUUAUAUUAUAUACCAAAAA